AACUGAGAUAGAAUGAUUCUAUUUAUGUUAUGUGACUUUUAUUUCACAUCUAUUGAGCUAAAAAUGAUAAAAUGCCAGCAUCCUAACUACAUUUAAUUCAACGACUACGCGUCAACUAUAGACACAGCUGCUAAAAUGAGAAAGAAAAUGGAUUUAUUUACGUAUAUGACAUACCUAGCUGAUUGAUCGGUGUCAAGCAUUUUUCUCAGAAAAAACAUAGAGUUUGUUAAUGCAAUGUUUUAUUUUUAACUAGGGUAGGUCCGCCCUACGGACGGGUUAACAAAUGAACAAAUAAUAUAAAUAUAUUUAAAAUGUUUAACUUAUUUUCAACUUAAAUUAAAUUAAUUUUCAUGUUUUUUUAUUAAAACAAUUUAUCAAUUUAUUUGAAUAUUUAUUUGAAAAACCAUAAAUUUAUUUAUUUAUUAAAAGUUUAAUAGAAAAUUAU
rnacentral:lncRNA from 1 species